UACAGGGGUCCCGAGCGUUGUUCGGAUUCACUGGGCGUAAAGGGUGCGCAGGUGGGUUGGCAAGUUUGAUGUGAAAGCCCCGGGCUUAACCCGGGAAUGGCAUUGAAUACUGCUGAUCUGGAGGAUUGGAGGGGGGACUGGAAUUCUUGGUGUAGCAGUGAAAUGCGUAGAUAUCAAGAGGAACACCAGUGGCGAAGGCGAGUCCCUGGACAAUACCUGACACUGAGGCACGAAAGCUAGGGGAGCAAACAGG
rnacentral:rRNA from 1 species